CCUACGGGAGGCAGCAGUGGGGAAUAUUGGACAAUGGGCGAAAGCCUGAUCCAGCCAUGCCGCGUGUGUGAAGAAGGCCUUCGGGUUGUAAAGCACUUUCAGUGGGGAAGAAAGCCUUGGGGCUAAUACCCUCGAGGAAGGACAUCACCCACAGAAGAAGCACCGGCUAACUCCGUGCCAGCAGCCGCGGUAAUACGGAGGGUGCGAGCGUUAAUCGGAAUUACUGGGCGUAAAGCGCGCGUAGGCGGUCUGAUAAGCCGGUUGUGAAAGCCCCGGGCUCAACCUGGGAACGGCAUCCGGAAAGGGGCAGGCAAGAGGGAAGGAGAGGAAGGUGGAAUCCCGGGGGGAGGGGUGAAAUGCGUAGAGAUCGGGAAGAAAACCAGUGGAGAAGGCGGCUUAUUGGACUUACAUUGACGCUGAGGUGCGAAAGCGUGGGAAGCAACCAGGAUUAGAUACCCGAGUAGUC
rnacentral:rRNA from 1 species